rnacentral:rRNA from 1 species
UCAGAACGAACGCUGGCGGCAGGCUUAACACAUGCAAGUCGAGCGCCCCGCAAGGGGAGCGGCAGACGGGUGAGUAACGCGUGGGAAUCUACCCAUCUCUACGGAACAACUCCGGGAAACUGGAGCUAAUACCGUAUACGUCCUUUUGGAGAAAGAUUUAUCGGAGAUGGAUGAGCCCGCGUUGGAUUAGCUAGUUGGUGGGGUAAUGGCCUACCAAGGCGACGAUCCAUAGCUGGUCUGAGAGGAUGAUCAGCCACACUGGGACUGAGACACGGCCCAGACUCCUACGGGAGGCAGCAGUGGGGAAUAUUGGACAAUGGGCGAAAGCCUGAUCCAGCCAUGCCGCGUGAGUGAUGAAGGCCCUAGGGUUGUAAAGCUCUUCAACGGUGAAGAUAAUGACG